CGUGAGAUGUUGGGUUAAGUCCCGCAACGAGCGCAACCCUCGUUCUAUGUUGCCAGCACGUAAUGGUGGGAACUCAUGGGAUACUGCCGGGGUCAACUCGGAGGAAGGUGGGGAUGACGUCAAAUCAUCAUGCCCCUUAUGUCUUGGGCUUCACGCAUGCUACAAUGGCCGGUACAAAGGGCUGCAAUACCGCGAGGUGGAGCGAAUCCCAAAAAGCCGGUCCCAGUUCGGAUUGAGGUCUGCAACUCGACCUCAUGAAGUCGGAGUCGCUAGUAAUCGCAGAUCAGCAACGCUGCGG
rnacentral:rRNA from 1 species